UACGUAGGGGGCAAGCGUUGUCCGGAUUCAUUGGGCGUAAAGAGCUCGUAGGCGGUUCAGUAAGUCAGGUGUUAAAGCUCCGAGCUCAACUCGGAGAGGCCAUCUGAUACGGCUGUGACUAGAAUCCAGUAGGGGAGCGUGGAAUUCCUGGUGUAGCGGUGAAAUGCGCAGAUACCAGGAGGAACACCAGUUGCGAAGGCGGCUCUCUGGACUGUAACUGACACUGAGGCACGAAAGCGUGGGGAGCAAACAGGAUUA
rnacentral:rRNA from 1 species